UGGGGAAUAUUGGACAAUGGGGGGAACCCUGAUCCAGCCAUGCCGCGUGUGUGAAGAAGGCCUUAUGGUUGUAAAGCACUUUAAGCGAGGAGGAGGGUACUGGUAUUAAUACUACCAGGUACUGGACGUUACUCGCAGAAUAAGCACCGGCUAACUCGGUGCCAGCAGCCGCGGUAAUACAGAGGGUGCGAGCGUUAAUCGGAUUUACUGGGCGUAAAGCGUGCGUAGGUGGUUCGUUAAGUUGAAUGUGAAAGCCCCGGGCUCAACCUGGGAACUGCAUCCAAAACUGGCGAGCUAGAGUAGGGCAGAGGGUGGUGGAAUUUCCUGUGUAGCGGUGAAAUGCGUAGAUAUAGGAAGGAACACCAGUGGCGAAGGCGACCACCUGGGCUCAUACUGACACUGAGGUGCGAAAGCGUGGGGAGCAAACAGG
rnacentral:rRNA from 1 species